rnacentral:rRNA from 1 species
UGGAAGUAAAAGUCGUAACAAGGUCUCCGUUGGUGAACCAGCGGAGGGAUCAUUACUGAGUUACCGCUCUAUAACCCUUUGUGAACAUACCUAUACGUUGCUUCGGCGGCCGUCCCCCGGGGCGUCCGCCGGAGGAUAACCAAACUCUGAUUUAACGACGUUUCUUCUGAGUGGCACAAGCAAAUAAUCAAAACUUUUAACAACGGAUCUCUUGGUUCUGGCAUCGAUGAAGAACGCAGCGAAAUGCGAUAAGUAAUGUGAAUUGCAGAAUUCAGUGAAUCAUCGAAUCUUUGAACGCACAUUGCGCCCGCCAGCAUUCUGGCGGGCAUGCCUGUUCGAGCGUCAUUUCAACCCUCAAGCACUGCUUGGUGUUGGGGCUCUACGGUUGACGUAGGCCCCCAAAACUAGUGGCGGACCCUCUCGGAGCCUCCUUUGCGUAGUAACUUUUGUCUCGCACUGGGAUUCGGAGGGACUCUAGCCGUUAAACCCCCCAAUUUUUUAAAGGUGACCUCGGAU